rnacentral:rRNA from 1 species
UACGUAGGUGACAAGCGUUGUCCGGAUUUACUGGGCGUAAAGAGCGCGCAGGCGGUCGAUCAAGUCGAGUGUGAAAGCCCCCGGCUCAACUGGGGAGGGUCAUUCGAUACUGAUCGACUCGAAGGCAGGAGAGGGUAGUGGAAUUCCCGGUGUAGUGGUGAAAUGCGUAGAUAUCGGGAGGAACACCAGUGGCGAAGGCGACUACCUGGGCUGUUCUUGACGCUGAGGCGCGAAAGCUAGGGGAGCAAACGGG